GUGGCCCAAGUGUUCUCGCGCCGUGGUAGUUUUUCAAAGUUCUAGCUAGUUAGUCGUGUGUGCAAAGGUUACGAACGGUGUGUUAUCGUGUGUGCUGGUAGCUCAAAGCAGAUUCGUGACCACAUCGCCACGACGCCCGAGACACCACAACGAACCGUCGAGGCCAUUCUUGACCCCACCAUCAGGCUGCGAGGUUUUCCCGGGGCACGCCGGAAGAGGGACGCGAUCGCCAAUCAACGCGCCCUAGGCAGGGCAUCACCGAAGAAGAAGAGAGAAGAAGAAGAGAAGGCAACCGUUUUUCCCUCCGUUGGUGACGACCGACGGACAUCGACGCACGUGCCGCGUCGCGCCUUAGAUGAGACCGUAAGUUUCGAUCCGGAGCAAAGCCAUCCGUAGGCGACAACCGCAGUCGCAGCAUCAUCAGCUAGCCCAGCUAGCCCAACCGUCAACCCGCCAACGAACAGCGAUUCGAUACCAGCCGUAGUAGCAUCGGCAUCUAGGCAAGCCGCCGACCCGCCGGCGAUCAGCGUGUAGUUGUACCGCCAUCGUCCGCAAGUGAUCACAUGGACGCCGCGUAAGUCGUCCAUUCAAAGUGAGUAC